rnacentral:rRNA from 1 species
AACCUUUACACUGCACGGAAGUGCGAUAGGGGAAUCCCAAGUGCGAGGGCAUAUUAGCCCUCGCUUUUCUCGACUCUAAGGUGGUCGACGAAUAAGAGCUGGGCAAGACCGGUGCCAGCCGCCGCGGUAAUACCGGCAGCUCGAGUGAUGUCCCAUAUUAUUGGGCCUAAAGCGUCCGUAGCUGGCCAGCCAAGUCCGUCGGGAAAUCCACCUGCCCAACAGGUGGGCGUCCGGCGGAAGCUGUCUGGCUUGGAACCGGAAGGCUCAGAGGGUACGUCCGGGGUAGGAGUGAAAUCCCGUAAUCCCGGACGGACCACCGAUGGCGAAAGCACUCUGAGAGGACGGAUUCGACAGUGAGGGACGAAAGCUAGGGUCUCGAACCGGAUUAGAUACCCGGGUAGUCCUAGCUGUAAACGAUGCUCGUUAGGUGUGGCACCCACUACGAGUGGGUGCUGUGCCGUAGGGAAGCCGCUAAACGAGCCGCCUGGGAAGUACGUCCGCAAGGAUGAAACUUAA